rnacentral:lncRNA from 1 species
UGGGGAGUAAGCAAAAAGGAUGGAACAAGAAGCCAAAAUGAUGCUCUGAAAUUUUGCUCCUUCCUUUCAAUUGUUGCCAUUUCGAGGAGGAGAGAGAGGUCAAGUAAAGCUUUCUCAUUAACCGUUAAGAGCAGUGAUUAAAAUUUCCUUCUUGAAGAAUUAGUUGUGGUAGAAUAACAGAGAACAUACAUCCAGAGGAGCCUACAAGACAUUUUGAGGGGAUACUGGACUCCUCCUUCUUUGUGUGACAUAGAGGAGAAUGGGUGAUUCCAGAUUAGAGAAUUUGGAGACCACAGGACCACACAAAGUGGCUUCCCAGCCUGCAUUGCAGUGUUCCCAGCAGUCUUGACUCUCUGAUCCUUGCUUUGUAAUCACUGGAUCACACCUAAGGUGAGUCUUCCUAAACUCUGCAGGUGACU